UACGUAGGUGGCAAGCGGUACUCGGAAUCACUAGGCGUAAAGCGCAGGUAGGAGGUUUGGCAAGUCUCUUGUGAAAGCUCCCGGCUUAACUGGGAGAGGUCAAGGGAAACUACUAGGCUAGAGUGCGGUAGAGGUAGCUGGAAUUCCCGGUGUAGCGGUGAAAUGCGUAGAUAUCGGGAGGAAUACCAGUGGCGAAAGCGCUCUACUGGGCCAUAACUGACACUGAGGGACGAAAGCUAGGGGAGCGAAAGGG
rnacentral:rRNA from 1 species